rnacentral:tRNA from 1 species
UAAAAUAAAGCGAUAAAAUUGCAUUCAGUUUCGGCCUGAAUUUAGAAGUUUUCUAUUUUUU